AAGGUGACCUGGUGAAUUACGUUUGACUAAUUUCUUAAACAUGUCAUGUCCAUGUUUGUUAGAUUGAUUGUGUGUGCCGAGGAAGUUUUUACAUACUUUUUGUUUUUUGCAGAGACAACACUGGCUUUGCUUCGCCAUCCUGAUUAUUGCAUCUCGGGUUAUUCAUCUGUGGAUGUGAAACGGAGCAUAGACGAUGGGGAGAAACGCUUCAAUCAACUCUAGAUCGAAGAACGUGGUAAAUUUGACGAGGAGACACUGGUGAAUGUGAGCAAUAUUAGAAGGCACAGUACAGCAUAUCAGAACGCUAGUGGAUUCAACAAUGAGUACAUAGUGAUAACAAUUUCGGUAGCUGCUGAAGGAGUGCAUAAAUUGCCCCUCAUCAAGGGAAGUGGUGACUUGAAUGUAGCCUUGCAAAAGCUUGCCUCCAUCCCGACAAGCAAACUACUGGUAAGAAUCGGCUUAUC